rnacentral:ncRNA from 1 species
UGGUCCCAGCCUUGAGAUCAAUUACUACUCAACAUACACAUGCAAGUCUCCGCGCCCCUGUGAGAACGCCCUUAAACCCCUUUAAGGGGCAAGGAGCUGGUAUCAGGCACAAAAAUUAGCCCAAAACACCUAGCCACGCCACACCCACACGGGAACUCAGCAGUGAUUAAUAUUGAACUUAAGUGACAGCUUGAAUCAGUUAGAGUAAAAAGAGCCGGCAAAUCUGGUGCCAGCCGCCGCGGUUACACCACGUGGCUCAAAUUGACCUCCUCCGGCGUAAAGCGUGAUUAAAGUAUUACUUUUACUGCAAUUAAACUAGAAUUAAGCCGUGACACGCUUAUUUAUAAGAAAACCAACAAACGAAAGUCAUUGCACCUUUAAUAGCUUGAAUUCACAACAGCUAGGAACCAAACUGGGAUUAGAUACCCCACUAUGCCUAGCCGUAAACUUUAACUUACAACCCCUCCCCGCCCGGGAACUACGAGCAAAGCUUAAAACCCAAGGGACUUGACGGUAUCCCAAAUCCAUCUAGAGGAGCCUGUCCUAUAAUCGAUAACCCCCGUUUUACCUCACCAUUUCUAGUUAAUCAGCCUGUAUACCUCCGUCGUCAGCUUACCCCAUGAGUGUUAAUUAGUGAGCUUAAUGCUAUUACACCAAUACGUCAGGUCAAGGUGCAGCCCAUGAAGUGGAAAGAGAUGGGCUACACUGUCUAUUUUAGAUUAAACGAAAGACCACAUAUGAAACCUGGUCCGAAGGCGGAUUUAGAAGUAAAAGAAGAGCAUUGUGCUUCCUUUAACUCGGCACUGGGGUGUGUACACACCGCCCGUCACCCUCUUCGUAAGCCUAAUACUAGUUUUUAACAUUAUCAAAGCACUUCAGAAGAGGCAAGUCGUAA